rnacentral:lncRNA from 1 species
GUAAACUGCAGGCAGGCUGCAUACUCAGAUGAAGGGAAUUUUGUAUCUGCUGCCACCUGAACCCCUCCCCAUGUGGAAAGCUCCAUCCCCUCUCUGCCUAUGGCCUCUCGGCCUGCAGGUGUGACAUGGACACCAGAGCCGGACUCCAGGGGGCACAUGGAUCUGCCAGCAGGGUGAGGAUUCUAGUGUUACCAGAUCCUGGCCUUAACCUCCCUGUCCCUCCUUCCAAACAGCUGAGGCUUCUCAAAACUUAAGAGUGUGACUCUGGGGUCAGAGACCUUUCUGGAAGGAGGUGGGAGCUGUGCUCACAGAACUGAAUGGACAGGGAAAGCUACAUUGGCUGUUGAUAGGAGAGGUGAAGAAUUAUCCUAAGAGGGAGAGGGAAUGGUGAGAAGAAAGUUCUCAAGAGUUUGGGGGUACUUCGAUGGGUGCUGAGAGAUCUUGGCCCAGUCGCCCUGCUCUGAUGAGAAGGGCUGGGGCAGAUAUGUGUAAGCACAUAGUUGUCAACGUUUUGCAAUGCUUCACAGAUGGAUGAUCCCCUUCAAUGCUUCUCAAGUGACGGCAGAAACAAUUUAAGUUGCUUUUCAGCUAUAUUUGGAUGUAGGAUUGUUGCUACUUCUGAAUGCAAUACCUUGAGAAUGAGAGCUGAAGCUCAGACCAAGAAUCCCCAGUUUAUUCAGGACCCAGACAUCUGCCAGGUGCAGGCUGGGCCUCGGCCACAGGACCGGUGCUGUGGGAGGAAGCAGUGAGCUGCCUUGGCCCCUCCAAGAACAGCGUCUGUAAUUUGGCCUAGAGAGAGUGGUCAACCAGAUGCAGGCAAUUUUGACUUUGAUGUGAGCAGAAUUAUAAAGAGUCAUAAAAGGAGCCUACAAUUUGGGCUGAAACCCUGCCAACCCAGUCUGGUCCCAGCCCUGGUUUUUUUCCAAAAAGAAAUACUUGAGAAGUCAAAAUCCUUAAUACGGGUUGGCAACAGACUGCUGGAUUGACCCCUGCUUGGCGCCUCAGCCUCAUUCUCCAGCCGCCCCCCCCCCCAUAUCCUGGCACCCACAUUAGCCUUCCCUGGCUCCUCAGACUGACUGGGCUCUUCACCCCUCCCAGCCUUUGCCACCUGGGUGUUUAUUUUGCCUGAAGGUCCCCCUCCCAGCAUUCACCCUUCUGGCCAGCUCAUCAUCUUGUCUAUAGUUCCAUUUAAACAUCACUUCUCGGGAUCCCUGGGUGGCGCAGCGGUUGAGCAUCUGCCUCUGGCUCAGGGCGUGAUCCCGGGGUCCUGGGAUCAAGUCCCUCAUUGGGCUCCCCGCAGGGAGCCUGCUUCUCCCUCUGCCUGUGUCUCUGCCUCUCUCUGUGUGUCUCUCAUGAAUAAAUAAAAUCUUUUAGGGAUCCCUGGGUGGCGU